UAUUGUGAAAAAUCGCACAUGUUUUGGUUAGAAUUAACCUCUCGUAAAGAGAAUAUGAUCGCAACUAAUGCUGCUGACAUUUCAGUCAGCUAGCGCCGAUCCCUGCCUGUUUACCGAGUGCAGCAUACUGCUUGCUACAUGCAAGCUUUAGAAGGCGCAAUCCGUACAACCGAUGAUGGCGCGUCGGCUCGAGGAUCACCUCAAAGGUAAAGGUUGAUACGGACUGGUUGCCUUCCCUGGGGCCGCGCCGGCUGGCUAAUCGGUACUCAGGUGGAGUUCCAUCAAUGGCCCGCAGUCCGCACCGAUAUUAACAGCUGUUUAUAACAGAAGAAACGCAUCACUAACAGAAAAACAAAACAGCUGCCGCGCAAUUGAAAAUUACGCAAAAACAAAAGGAAAUCCAAAAGAAACUAUUGACGACGGGCCCAGUUGGACCCCGGCGUACCCACCCUGCCUGAGAUGGCCACAUCGGCGCCAUCUCCCUUGCGUUGGCCACUAUAUCAGUGGCUGCUCUUAAUCCGGCGUAGUGCUGUGGAAUUCCCCUCCUCUCCAUGCUGAGAACUCACACAACCAUGUUCAACAUAUCAUACAAAUAUUUGGACAAAAUGGCAAAGGAGCAAGAUCAAACAAAAUCACGCAGUAGGACGAGCGAAACCAACAUGUAGCCGCAACGGCGUAAAGGACAACUUCUCUUAUAUGUAACACAUCCGGGCGGUUUGUAUAUAUUUAUUCACCAAUUUAUAUACGUAUGUUUUA